CGGCUGUACAUGUACCCUUCAUAAUACACUUUGAAGUUCUGUUUUCUUGGGCAGUAAGACAGCAUGUUUGCAUCCUAUCUCAAAUCACACAAUGUACACACCUCACUAUACGGAUUUACCCAUAGACAUUUAGAUUUUUAUGCCCCAGUCCAACGUAAUUCUCCCCAAAUAAAACAGUCCAUCAAAUCCAGUAGUACAAUGCUUCACAAUUAAGUUGGAUGAUACUCCUAUGCAGGGUGUCAAGGUUCACUAUCACUCAUUGCCUAUGUUGCUUUAGUUGGAGGGAAAUAAUGGGCUAUGGUCAAACCUUGUUUAACUGUAUUAGGCCGCUUGCGAGGCCGAAGCCAAGACCGGACUUCAUCUUGGAUUUCUUGUGGUAACUCAUCAAUCACUGAUGGGUCAAUCUCAUCAAUCUUGUAAUGCCAUGCUUCUCUAUGUACAUUCUGACUUAAACUAUGUCUGCAAUCAUUUGUGCUGCACUCUGCAAGAAGAAGACUCUCCUUUGGCAGCUCAUCAACUUCAUUCGCUUCUAAACCUUGAACCACGCCAACAUUCUCCAGUUUUGGUUUAGAGCAAGAGGGAUCGCUCUUCUUGAAGAACUUGAGGAUUGUGCCCUUGUCUUCCAAGGCAUUUCUUUUCUGUUCCUGUUGUUCUAAUUUAGGCAGUAUAACCCUAGUGUCAUCCCUAAAGAAACAUCCCCGUGAGUUGCUUUGGUUUACUGCUGAACAACUUUCACCACCUGAGGGUAAUGGCUGUGAAGUUGGCUGUGAAGUUUCUAGGGCAAAGCCAUCUUUUGCUUGUUUGGGCGAAGAGCAAAAUGAAUCUUUAUCUCUCGAUUCACUGAUUUUCUGUCCUUGUAGAUCCAAACAAGGAAAAUUAUAGUCACUUUGUGGCUCAGCUGAUUUCAGUUCUGAAUAGCUUUCAGUACCUGAUGACAAUAGUGGUGCAGAUUCUUGGAUGAAGUUAUCUGGAGUUUGCUUUGAAGAUGAGUGGGAUGGAUACUGGCCUUGAAAAUAUUUCAUGAUUGAACAUGUUCCAGAAGGUACAGCAACAAUUUUACUUGCUGAAACAGAAAGAGCUGUUAUUCCCCAUCCAUUGUGAUUACUUCCUUGAAUUUUUACUCCACACGAGCCCAAAUACUCACGUAAUCCAGCUUGAAACAGGUUGAAUGCAUC
rnacentral:misc_RNA from 1 species